CAGCCGUAUGGCAUAGGUACCUGUUAAAUUUGUUAUAGCAGAUGGUACAGCCGCAUGGCAUAGGUACCGGUUAAAUUUGUUAUAGUAGAUGGUACAGCCACUUGGCAUAGGUACCGGUUAAAUUUGUUAUAGUAGAUGGUACAGCCGCAUGGCAUAGGUACCGGUUAAAUUUGUUAUAGUAGAUGGUACAGCCGCAUGGCAUAGGUACCGGUUAAAUUUGUUACAGUAGAUGGUACAGCCGCAUGGCAUAGGUACCGGUUAAAGUACAGCUGUUAUGGCAUUUGUACUGUACAGUGGGAGAUUGUCUAAUAGUUGGUACAGCCGCAUGGCACAGGUACCUAAGCGGAGUACAGCUGUUAUGGCGCUUGUACUGCGCAAUGGGAGAUUGUGCAGUAGAUGGUACAGACGCAUGGCACAGGUACCAAUUUGGAGUGCAGCUAUUAUGGCGUUUGUACUGUGCAAUGUGAGAUUGAAGACUUAAUAUUUGCACCAACCCAUCUCUCAAUGUCACUGUCCAAGAGAAAGAAUGACCAGUUCCGAGAAGGAUCGCAAGUUCUCAUUGCUCGGUCAGACGAUAGCCCCUGCCCAGUAGGGGUGGUCGAAAAAUUUCUGGCACAAGGGGGGGGGGGGCAUGAUCCGAAGACCACGCUUUGGAGACAAAUCCAGCAGACAAAGAGUGGAUGCAAACUCCGCAGGGAGCCGAUGUCAUACAGUAGGGCUAACCAGUUGUUCAAAAACGAGUUAAAGACGGAAGGUCUCGACCCAAAGUGUUAUGGGCUGCAUAGUCUACAUGCAUAGUCUGGUGGUGCAUCGACAGCAGCGGCAAUGUAUAUUCCUGAUAGACUGCUUCAGAGACAAGGGGGUUGGCACAGUGCCAGGGCGAAGAACAAUUAUAUUGACGAGUCUGUUAACUCUUUAUUGCUUGUUACUAGGUCUAUGCGGAGUGCAUACAUUACUAGCUCUAUCGUUGUCAGUUGCGGCGGACGGCUGCAGCAGCUCCCAGCAGUGUGUGAGAAGUGUUAUUUUCUGCUGGCUGAGGUACGAAAGAAGCAGAAAAUGUUUUCUCACACAAGGCUGGGAGCCCGAUUGUGAAUCGGGUGUGUUCGGGUGGUGCAGGUUAAGACAGCACAUGUUGUUGUUGCUUCCGCAACGCUUGACAUAAAUCCCCACCCGCCCGCCCGUUAAUUAUAGUCAGUUAGCUUGUUAGAUGCAGUGGACGUUUAUAUAACUUAUUAGUAAUUGUAACUCCUCAGUAAUUUUUAUGUAAAUAACGUAAUUAUGUUGCAGAGCUAUGUAUGAUUAGCUGUGUUAGCUGUUAUUGUGUAAAUAAAAGUCAAGCUUGCGGCGGACGGCUGCAGCAGCUCCCAGCAGUGUGUGAGAAGCCAUUUUCAAAAAUAAUGAAUAAUGAAAAAUUUUCGUGUGGCAGAUAAAUCCCAUGCAGGCGGGGAUGAGAAACAUGAUA